rnacentral:rRNA from 1 species
GACGAACGCUGGCGGCGUGCUUAACACAUGCAAGUCGAGCGGUAAGGCCCUUUCGGGGGUACACGAGCGGCGAACGGGUGAGUAACACGUGGGUGACCUGCCCUCAGCUCUGGGAUAAGCCCGGGAAACUGGGUCUAAUACUGGAUAUUACUCUGCGGUGCAUGCCGUGGGGUGGAAAGCCUUGUGCGGCUGGGGAUGGGCCCGCGGCCUAUCAGCUUGUUGGUGGGGUGGUGGCCUACCAAGGCGACGACGGGUAGCCGGCCUGAGAGGGCGACCGGCCACACUGGGACUGAGACACGGCCCAGACUCCUACGGGAGGCAGCAGUGGGGAAUCUUGCGCAAUGGGCGAAAGCCUGACGCAGCGACGCCGCGUGAGGGAUGACGGCCU